CAGAGGAUUCGAUUAUGGCUCAGAUUGAACGCUGGCGGGAUGCUUUACACAUGCAAGUCGAACGGCAGCACGGACUUCAGUGCUGGUGGCGAAAGUGGCGAACAGGUGAGUAAUGUAUCGGAACGUGCCUAGUAGCGGGGGGAUAACUACGCGAAAGCGUAGCUAAUACCGCAUACGCCCGCUGAGGAAAGCAGGGGGACCUUCGGGCCUCGCACUAUUAAACGGCCGAUAUCGGAUUAGCUAGUUGGUGGGGUAACGGCUCACCAAGGCGACGAUCCGUAGCUGGUUUGAGAGGACGACCAGCCACACUGGGACUGAGACACGGCCCAGACUCCUACGGGAAGCGGCAGUGCGGGAAUUUUUUGGACAAUGGGGAAACCUGAUCCAGCCAUCCCGCGUGCGAUGAAGGCCUUCCGGGUUGUAAAGCACUUUUGGCAGGAAAGAAGCGGCACGGGAUAAUACCCCGUGCAACUGACGGUACCUGCAGAAUAAGCACCGGCUAACUACGUGCCAGCAGCCGCGGUAAUACGUAGGGUGCAAGCGUUAAUCGGAAUUACUGGGCGUAAAGCGUGCGCAGGCGGUUCGGGAAGAAGAUGUGAAAUCCCAGAGCUUAACUUUGGAACUGCAUUUUUAACUACCGAGCUAGAGUGUGUCAGAGGAGGUGGAAUUCCGCGUGUAGCAGUGAAAUGCGUAGAUAUGCGGAGGAACACCGAUGACGAAGAGCAGCCUCCUGGGAUAACACUGACGCUCAUGCACGAAAGCGUGGGGGAGCAAACGAGUUAGAUACCCUGGUAGUCCACGCCCUAAACGAUGUCAACUAGCUGUUGGGGCCUUCGGGCCUUGGUAGCGCAGCUAACGCGUGAAGUUGACCGCCUGGGAGUACGGUCGCAAGAUUAAAACUCAAAGGAAUUGACGGGGACCCGCACAAGCGGUGGAUGAUGUGGAUUAAUUCGAUGCAACGCGAAAAACCUUACCUACCCUUGACAUGUCUGGAAUCCCGAAGAGAUUUGGGAGUGCUCGCAAGAGAACCGGAACACAGGUGCUGCAUGGCUGUCGUCAGCUCGUGUCGUGAGAUGUUGGGUUAAGUCCCGCAGCAGAGCGCAACCCUUGUCAUUAGUUGCUACGAAAGGGCACUCUAAUGAGACUGCCGGUGACAAACCGGAGGAAGGUGGGGAUGACGUCAAGUCCUCAUGGCCCUUAUGGGUAGGGCUUCACACGUCAUACAAUGGUCGGGACAGAGGGUCGCCAGCCCGCGAGGGGGAGCCAAUCCAGAAACCCGAUCGUAGUCCGGAUCGCAGUCUGCAGCUCGACUGCGUGAAGUCGGAAUCGCUAGUAAUCGCGGAUCAGCAUGUCGCGGUGAAUACGUUCCCGGGUCUUGUACGCACCGCCCACGUCACACCAUGGGAGUGGGUUUUACCAGAAGUAGUUAGCCUAACCGUAAAGGAGGGCGAUUACCACGGUAGGAUUCAUGACUGGGGGUGGGCGUAUGGUA
rnacentral:rRNA from 1 species